CGUGUAGGCGGCUAGAUAAGUCUGGAGUGAAAGUCCUGCUUUCAAGGUGGGAAUUGCUUUGGAAACUGAAUAGCUUGAGUGCGGAAGAGGUAAGUGGAAUUCCCAGUGUAGCGGUGAAAUGCGUAGAGAUUGGGAGGAACACCAGUGGCGAAGGCGACUUACUGGGCCGUAACUGACGCUGAGGCGCGAAAGCGUGGGGAGCGAAUA
rnacentral:rRNA from 1 species